rnacentral:ncRNA from 1 species
AUAUCAGAGCGGUAAGACCUCUGUGGGUUCCUCUGGUGUUCCCUUCCGUAGGUUGGCAAAGCCAGAGGGCACGCACCCACAGGGCACGCUCUUUUU